UCUUAAAGAUAAAUCUAGAAUGACUUGCGUCUUUUGUGGGGGAAUAACGCAUUCGGCCAUUGUGUCAUUCUUCAUUUGACCUUCAGAAAUAUUUCACUAAUCACUAGAUUCUAGAAGAGAAACGUUGCUAAGCUACACACAGUACAUUUGAUCAAUAAAAUAUAAAAAAAAUGGAUACACUUGCAAAGGGAAUUCUCUUUGGGGUCGGAAUAGCCGUCGGACUGGUGACAUUUGCUGUUCAGUGGUGGCAAUUCAGGAAUGUUCCAGAACAGCAUAAUGCACAAGGACGCCGUCCACCGAGAAACUAAUAAAUAAUUUUACGAAAGAUUCUUCUGCUGUAUUAAGAGCAAUAUGUAUACUUAUAUUACUUAAUAAUAAACAGCAGUACCUGGAUGAACGGUUACGGUAACGGUUUUUUGUAAAACGUGUUUUUUUUUAAAUUUUAUUUAAAUACAAAUUACAUACUGAUGAAAUAUGAAUAAUAUUUUUCGAUCCUACGGACAUAAUAAUAAUAUGAACUGGUUAUUUAAAUAAAAAAAUCACGAGUGCGAUCUGAUAAAAAGGGGAAAAAACCGAUCUGGAGACACGAGGAUUUGAAUCUGUCACAGCCUUAUAGACAAUGGUGAAAUUUACCUUGUAUUCUAAAGAAUAUGAUAUUGUAGAAGUUUUUCAUUGCCUAAAAAUACG